GACGGAGGAUGCAAGUGUUAUCCGGAAUCACUGGGCGUAAAGCGUCUGUAGGUGGUCAAAUAAGUCAACUGUUAAAUCUUGAGGCUCAACCUCAAAAUCGCAGUCGAAACUAGUAGACUAGAGUAUAGUAGGGGUAAAGGGAAUUUCCAGUGGAGCGGUGAAAUGCGUAGAGAUUGGAAAGAACACCAAUGGCGAAGGCAGCCCCCUGGGAUAACACUGACGCUCAUGCACGAAAGCGUGGGGAGCAAACAGG
rnacentral:rRNA from 1 species